rnacentral:rRNA from 1 species
AUUGAACGCUGGCGGCAUGCCUUACACAUGCAAGUCGAACGGCAGCGCGGACUUCGGUCUGGCGGCGAGUGGCGAACGGGUGAGUAAUGUAUCGGAACGUACCAUUGAGUGGGGGAUAACGUAGCGAAAGUUACGCUAAUACCGCAUAUUCUCUCCGGAGGAAAGCAGGGGACCGCAAGGCCUUGCGCUCUUUGAGCGGCCGAUAUCAGAUUAGCUAGUUGGUGGGGUAAAAGCUCACCAAGGCGACGAUCUGUAGCGGGUCUGAGAGGAUGAUCCGCCACACUGGAACUGAGACACGGUCCAGACUCCUACGGGAGGCAGCAGUGGGGAAUUUUGGACAAUGGGGGCAACCCUGAUCCAGCCAUGCCGCGUGAGUGAAGAAGGCCUUCGGGUUGUAAAGCUCUUUCGGCCGGGAAAAAAUCGCAUGGAUUAAUACUCUGUGUGGAUGAUGGUACCGGAAUAAGAAGCACCGGCUAACUACGUGCCAGCAGCCGCCGCCGUAA